rnacentral:lncRNA from 1 species
CGCGAUAUGCCGAGAAUCUUGAGGUGUCAAAUACUGCUUGACGAGAUUCCAGAGCCAAACAGGACGAUCAUGAUAUAUGCGGAGUCCGGGCAUCUCCGAGAUGCCGAGAGAACGUUCAAGCACGUCCCUUCGCACGAUGCCGUCGCGCUAAACGCAAUGCUUCAGGCUUACGUCCUCAACGGGAGAGACGACAUGGUUUGACAAAAUGGGAUUUGCUUCGAGCGGGCAUUUGCACAAAGCGAGAGACCUGUUCAUCACGAUGCCACGGAGGGCCUUCCUCGACCCUGCUACAGGCUUUUGCUCAAGCAGGGCAGAUCAGAUUCGCGAGAAAAACCUUAGAUUUUAUGCCUGCUGCUCUUCCGCGAGAUGAUUCUGCCCGGCAUGAGCACCGACGAGGACAUUCAAGCCCAUCGAGAUCUCCGACGCGCCUGCUUCCACGUCUAGACAUCCAGCGGCAACACUACCAAUGCAUCGCCCAGCCCAUCUCGUCGGCAUGGCGAUCGAGGCGGCGCCUUCUAGACCCGAG